CACCUUAGUUUUUGUGAAACUCCAGGUUUCAAUCUUAAGUGAAAUCUUACACUUAUUAUGUAGCUUAUAUUAAUUGCUCGGGGUCUAGUUUCCCCCCCAUGACUUUUACCUAUGGCAGAGCCCGAGUGUUGCUUAGUUUUCUCUGCACCACCUCUGUGGUGCCUGAAUCCUUGUCCUUAGCUAUUACGUGUUAGGUGUCGAUGUUCUGUUGAAAAUGGGCGUCUCUGUUGUGCGCGGGUGUGAUGGGGUGUGUGUCUAUCUAAUUGCCAUACGUUCGUUAUGUUUUGCUAUAUUCCCGUCUAAUUGCUAGGUAUCCAAGGCACAGAGUGUCCUGGAUCACUGUGCCACUGAUCAGGUAUCAUUGUCUUUUGUCAUUUUCCAUCUUCUAUUUCUCGUUUUGUUUAUCCUUAUUACUCUCCUAGUUUAUUAUGCUAUUUGUCUGUCUCAUAAUUAGCCCGUCUGGCCUCAAUCCCGGCACCCCUAGGCCCAGGCCCUGGAAGUCUGGUAGGGGGGUAAGGAAAGGGUUAGGAGCAGGGGGUAAUGGGCAAUCAGGAUAUGUGGGGUGUGAUUCCUCCCGUAAGGCUCGCGUCAGUCGAUACCCCUGCCGUGUUUCCCGGUGCGUCUCCCUCACGCCGGUAACGGGAGAUUUAUAAGAACCAUGGCAUCCACAGCUCUGCAUGCCUGCUUCCUCGUCCUGUCAGGGUAGCAUGUGCUUCUUCUGCUCCCUGAAUAUCUUCUACUCUGCGAAUCCACUCUUUUCUAGUAGGUACUUCACUCUUUUUCCAGUGGGCUGGUAUGUUGGCCUUGGCGGCAUUAAGCAGGUGUCGUAAUAUCUAUUUCUUGUACGACGAUAUGGGUUGUGUAGAGAUGUGUAACAAUGCCAAUUCCGCAUUCCACUCCGGUAGGUCUCCAAGGAUAAGCUUCACUGUGUCCCUAAUCAUUU